rnacentral:lncRNA from 1 species
CACACAGCAUAAGAGCAUUUCUCCCUUCAGGUCAACUCUGAUCUUCCAGUGGUCCCCACCUCCCCCAGGACACCCCUCAGUCUGGCUUUUAAGGUCCCAGCAUCAUCUCCAGGGGCUCCCUAUUCUUCCCUCUGUGGCUGAUGCCUGCUUGCCUUCCCCAGCCUCUCCUUCCCUCUAACCUGCAAGCCCCCUUCUCCCUGGCCCCAGGCCACUCUGAGCCACCCUCUCAAUCUGUACCCUCAGCCUCUGCAACAGAGCCUGGCGUGGUGUUGCCCCACUGCAUGUUUGUUGACUGACUGGCUGAUGGAUGCAGAGCCCGUCCUUCCUAAUGGUUCAGACUCAGGCGUCAUCAGCCCAGAUGGCUCCGAGGGUGGGUUCUCUCUUAGUUACCGUGUCCAGAGCCCACCUCCCUCACACCCACACAGCGCUUCCUAAAGGCAGGGACAGGAGCUGGCCUCCCUCGCCUGCUGGCAUGGGGCUGGACACAGGAGGAAGUGGCGUGGGGGCUGCCUGAGGGGAGUGAGGCGGCAGGAUAGCUUCCCCAGCAGGUCUCUGGCUCAGGUCCAGGUAUCUCCUCCUCCCCAUACCUCUGCCUCUCGCCUCCGCUCAGAAAAGCAGGUGCCCUUAAGAGCCAUCUCCACCCCCAUGUAAACUGCACACAGGAAGGGAGAGGCCACUCCGACUGCUCUGAGGUCCAGGGAAGGGGCCUGUGCUGCCGCUUGGAGGGUGCCAUGCCCAGAGCCUCUGCCCCUAGCCUCAGCCUCGCCUACUCACUGGGGGCUCCAGCACCCCCGGCCACCCCAGGACUCCCGAAGAGGCUGCUAGGUCGGCCUGCCCAAAGAGCGGUGAGGAGCGUAUGUGAAGAGCCCCAGUCUUGAGGAGCAGCCUGUAUCUGGAGAGAGGGGAGCCCCGGACCAGAGGUGGGGGACAGGAAGCCAUCGCCCCACCCUGCCUCCUCCCCCACCACAGGUGGCCCUCGCCCCGGCCCACCCGCGCCUCCCAGGCCCAGCCUCACCUGCUGCCGAGAGAGGACAGUGAUCCCCCAAAAGCCGGAGGUGGAGGAGGAGGAGGAAGAGGAGGAAGGAGCUGGAGGAGCCGGGGACUCGCCCGCUGAAGAUGCUCUUGUCAAGACAAUGAAUGAGAAGCAGCCGUGCGCCCGCCUCCGGGGUGGCCGCGCCCCUUGGGGCGGAGCUCUUCCAGGCCCGCCCUGCGCUCCCGGGCUCCCGCUGCGGCCGCCUCUCUCCCCGGCCCCUGCCCGUGCACCACGUUGGUCCCCAACCAUAGCGCAGGCUGCCAUCCCGGCUCCGGGAAGCGAAUCUAAACUUCUUUUUAAAAUGUCAAA